GAGUUGUAUAUUUUACGAAGCUGGAUUUACAAGCAAGAUAUCAUUAAGUAAGGGACAAUCUUUCUAAUAUUCAUAAGAUUGCUUUUCGUACUCCCAAUGGCCAUUAUGAAUACACUGUUAUGUCUUUUGGCCUAUGUAAUACACCUUCGACAUUUCAAGCCAUUAUGAACAUUAUCUUUCAACCUCACCUUAAAAAAUUCAUUCUAGUUUUCUUUGAUGAUAUCCUCAUCUAUAGUAUUACUUGGGAUAAACAUGUGGAACACAUUGCACAAACUCUGUAAAUUUUAAGACAACUUUAGUUUUUUGCUAAAGCUAGCAAAUGUGUUAUCGACCAACAAGAAUUGGAGUAUCUGGGGGCAUAUCAUUACACCUCAAGAAGUGAAAGUGGAUGA